rnacentral:rRNA from 1 species
AUUGAACGCUGGCGGCAUGCUUUACACAUGCAAGUCGAACGGCAGCGCGGGCUUCGGCCUGGCGGCGAGUGGCGAACGGGUGCGUAAUGCAUCUGAACGUGCCCAGUAGUGGUGGAUAGCCCGGCGAAAGCCGGAGUAAUGCCGCAUCCGACCUGAGGCUGAAGACGGGGGCCCGAAACGCCUCGCGCUAUUGGAGCGGCCGAUGUCGGAUUCGCUAGUUGGGGGGGUAAAGGCUUACCAAGGCGACGAUCCGUAGCUGGUCUGAGAGGACGACCAGCCACACUGGGACUGAGACACGGCCAGACUCCUACGGGAGGCAGCAGUGGGGAAUUUUGGACAAUGGGGGCAACCCUGAUCCAGCCAUGCCGCGUGCGGGAAGAAGGCCUUCGGGUUGUAAAGCGCUUUUGUUCGGGAAGAAAUCCUCUGGGCUAAUACCCCGGGGGGAUGACGGUACCGGAAGAAUAAGCACCGGCUAACUACGUG